AGAGGGUGCGAGCGUUAAUCGGAAUAACUGGGCGUAAAGGGCGCGUAGGCGGCGAGGUAAGUGAGAUGUGAAAUACAUGGGCUCAACCUAUGUUGUGCAUUUGAGACUGCCUGGCUAGAGUGCAGGAGAGGGAAGUGGAAUUUCCGGAGUAGCGGUGAAAUGCGUAGAUAUCGGAAGGAACAUCAGUAGCGAAGGCGACUUCCUGGCCUGUCACUGACGCUGAGGCGCGAAAGCGUGGGUAGCAAACAGGAUUAGAGACCCUGGUAGUCCCACGCCCGUAAACGAUGAGAACUAGCUGUUGGAGUCAUUAGAAGGCUUUGGUAGCGCAGCAAACGCGAUAAGUUCUCCGCCUGGGGAGUACGGCCGCAAGGCUA
rnacentral:rRNA from 1 species